rnacentral:rRNA from 1 species
UACGGAGGAUCCGAGCGUUAUCCGGAUUUAUUGGGUUUAAAGGGUGCGCAGGCGGGGGAUUAAGUCGGCGGUGAAAUUUUGCAGCUCAACUGUAAAAGUGCCUUCGAAACUGGUUUCCUUGAGUGUAGAUGAAGUAGGCGGAAUUUGUGGUGUAGCGGUGAAAUGCAUAGAUAUCACGAGGAACUCCGAUUGCGUAGGCAGCUUACUAAACUACUACUGACGCUCAGGCACGAAGGCGUGGGGAUCAAACAGGAUUAGAUACCCCUGUAGUCCCU